rnacentral:tRNA from 1 species
GGGCGUUUGGCACAGUGGUAGCGCGCAUGCUUUGCAUUCGAGCUUGCAUGAGGUCGAGGGUUCAAACCCCUCAACGUCCA